GAUUGGCCACGGUCUCGACGUACAGGACCUUGGUUUCCCCUUCCUUAACCGCCGCCCUCACCGCGUCGAGGUCGUCGAUGUCGACGAAGGUGGUGCGGAUUCCGCAGGACCGGGGGAGGAAGUGCGAGAGGAGGGCGUGGGUGCCGCCGUAGAGGCAUCGGGAGGCAACCACGUGACCGCCGGCGCCGCAGAUCUGGAUGAGGACGGAUGAGAUGGCGGACAUACCGCUGGCGGUGCAGUAGGCGGCCUCGGUGCCCUCGACGGCGGCCAUCUGGCGGCCGAGGUUGAGGACGGUUGGGUUGAAGUGCCGGCUGUAGAUGUAGAAGUCGCGGUCGGGUCCGAGCUCACCCGAGAACAUGCGCCGCAUGGUCUCCGCCUCCAUCACAGUGAACGUCGCCGACGCCUCGAUCGACAUGUUCACCCCGCCGUGCU
rnacentral:lncRNA from 1 species